GACGAACGCUGGCGGCGUGCUUAACACAUGCAAGUCGAGCGGUAAGGCCCUUUCGGGGGUACACGAGCGGCGAACGGGUGAGUAACACGUGGGUGACCUGCCCUCAGCUCUGGGAUAAGCCUGGGAAACCGGGUCUAAUACUGGAUGUGACUCCAUGACGCAUGUUGUGGGGUGGAAAGCCUUGUGCGGCUGAGGAUGGGCCCGCGGCCUAUCAGCUUGUUGGUGGGGUGANGGCCUACCAAGGCGACGACGGGUAGCCGGCCUGAGAGGGCGACCGGCCACACUGGGACUGAGACACGGCCCAGACUCCUACGGGAGGCAGCAGUGGGGAAUCUUGCGCAA
rnacentral:rRNA from 1 species